CCUCAAUCUCCGAAUCUUUCUGAUCUUAUAAAAUUCUUUCCAAAUGUUGGGGAGGGGGGGGGCGUUUUUUAAAAAGGUACAGAAGAUAAUGGAACAUCUUUUAUAGGCUGGAUUUUAUCUCCUUCACCUUCCCUCCAACCGGCUGGAGCGAGUUUAAUAAUGGUCAGCGCCUCUGUGUGUUGGAUUUAAUUAUGGAGGACACUUCCCAAGCAAAUGAGCAAUAUUUGAUCUGGUUCUAAGUCCCGCUCUGAGAAAGAGCUUAAGGGCAGGGAUCUUUCU
rfam:Sarcophilus harrisii ctg7180001551484, whole genome shotgun sequence.